CCGCCGCCGCGCAGCGGGACGGGCGCGAGGCGGCUCCGCGCGCUCCAAAUGCCCGAGGCGGGAGCUAAAACUCCCGACCCGACCUCUCGUCUCACAUUUUGAUCAGGCUGAGAGGGAAACGAAGGAGGUUGUUGGGAGCAAAAAGAUCCGUGUGUGACAGCUGUGAGAAAAAGGCCAACAACAAGGAAUGUGCACACACAGUGUUGCAUAAGCUACUGUUACAUUGUACACUGCUCACCAUGAACUUCUAGAUCAUUUUAUGUAGAAAGAAAAAGUUCCGAAAAUAUUCAGCCUGUUAGGGACUCAGUGGCAGAGAACUCUGCUCUUUUCCAAGGAGGGUUUUGACCAUGGCUCCAUGCAUGCUUCCAGCCCUUUAUUGGGUAAACGAACAUUUUUUCUAUCAAGUCUGAAGAUCAUCAUCCUUCUCCAGCUGAAGUGGAAGAGUUUGGUCACACCAAUGCCUCAGCCUUUGCCAAUAUGUUCAACACGAGGAGCACUUCUGAUUCUUCUCAGUUUGAAACCAAUCAAGCCAAAUUGGAAAAGGCACAGAGAAGGAUGAUUAAUGGUACAGAGUUUUUCCUGAUGUGCAAAACCCCUCAGCUUGGGAAUGAAUGAUACAGAGAAUGAGAACAGAAGUCUAAGAGAAUAACACCGAGUGACAGAAGCUGGUGAAGUGAACAUGGUUGUUUCUUUAAAAAAAAACAAAAACAAAAAACCACAAAUUUGCCUGGUUAUACUUUCUAUUUUCAAGCUGACAGUGGUGUAAUUAAAUACAGAAAUAGUCAAAUCCUUGAGGCAAUAUUCCUUCUUCCUCCAGCUUUUCAAAUUAUACUCACAGUUCUGAGAGACAAACAGUGUUUAGUGUUCCAAGUUACUGCUAAGUCCAUUGCGUCAAAAUAUUAAAGCCACAGCAACAAAAAAUACAAAUUUGACCCAGAUCAGAAAAUAGAGAUGGUCAUUAGUAAACAUCAUGUCUUGUCAUUGACAACUGGCGGGACACGGAGGGGUGGAGGGACACGGGAUAGAGGAGAGAGGGAGCAGGAAAGGGU